ACACUAAACAACCUAAACCAACAGAACACACAUACUCAAACAUACAAGACAAAACACAUAUUAACGCACACACAACACACUAAACACAACAUAACCGAACAUCACACUCACAACACAAGACAAAAUGCAACACACACUAACACAACAAAGACCUAAAACCGAACUGUUGGUCCCUAGCAACGGCGCCAAAAUUUGAUGGGUUUCACACCCCAUACAAAUUUAAUG
rnacentral:lncRNA from 1 species